UCAUAGUGCAGGUGAGAAGACUCAAUUUAAUUGGCUACAAAAUCCGUUGACAAAUCGUUCUAGAGUCGAGCUACAGCUGCCGAUCUUUAUAAUAUGAAUUGGCAUUAUCUGGACACCAAAAAUAGGAAAAUGUUCCUUAUGAUGCUUAUGCAAUAUCAGCAUGUUUCAGUGAUUUCUAUUGGACCUUUUGGCCCGAUGACUGUUGAAUCCGUUAUCUCAGUAAUCAAAGCUGCUUACUCUUACAUGAUGCUGAUGCGGACAUACAAAUAGUCAACUACGUUUAAUCCUAUGCGCUUACUAAAUAUUAGUUGGAAUGAACUUUAGUUGUGGCAAACCACUUUGAUUAGACGCCUAGUUACACACGACACAAAGAACUAUCGACCAAUUUUGUCCACUGUCGGUAGCAAACAGAAUAUUUAUACAUCUUGUCGAAACAAAACUAGAGAAUAAAAAUGAUUAUAUAACCUUU